UAGGGAAUUUUCCACAAUGGGGGCAACCCUGAUGGAGCAACGCCGCGUGCAGGAUGAAUGUCUUCGGAUUGUAAACUGCUUUUAUCUGUGACGAAUAUGACGGUAGCAGAUGAAUAAGGAUCGGCUAACUCCGUGCCAGCAGCCGCGGUCAUACGGAGGAUCCAAGCGUUAUCCGGAAUUACUGGGCGUAAAGAGUUGCGUAGGUGGCAUAGUAAGCAGGUAGUGAAAUCGUGUGGCUCAACCAUACUCACAUUACCUGAACUGCUAAGCUAGAGGAUGAGAGAGGUUAUUGGAAUUCCCUGUGUAGGAGUGAAAUCCGUAGAUAUAGGGAGGAACACCGAUGGCGUAGGCAGAUAACUGGCUCAUUCCUGACACUCAGGCACGAAAGCGUGGGGAGCAAACGGGAUUAGAUACCCCCGUAGUCC
rnacentral:rRNA from 1 species